AUGGCCGGGGCUCAGACGGGGAGCAGCGCCACACCGUGCGCGUCAUGUAAGCUCCUGCGGCGACGGUGCACCAGGGACUGCGUGUUCGCGCCUUACUUCCCGCCGGAGGACCCGCACCGGUUCGCCACCGUGCACAGGGUCUUCGGCGCCAGCAACGUGAGCAAGAUGCUGCAGGAGCUCCCUGCGGCGCAGCGGGCUGAUGCUGUGAGCAGCCUGGUGUACGAGGCCACCGCGCGGAUGCGGGACCCCGUUUACGGAUGUGCCGGAGCCAUCUCCUACCUCCAGCAGCAGGUCUCCCAGCUCCAGGUGCAGCUCGCCGUCGCGCAGGCCGAGAUCCUCCAGCGCAUCAACCACCCUUCCCCGGCCACUGCAUUUCAUCUGCAGGAGCUCCAGCAGCGCCAGGCGCAGCAGCAGCAGCAAAUGCAGAUGGAUGAUGAUGACAAGGCGUAUAGCAGCCUCGUCAUGCAGAAUGAUCUGAUGAGCACGCUGCUGCUACAGGAGGCGUGCCUUAAGAAAGAGUCCCUAUGGACAUGA
rnacentral:rRNA from 1 species